rnacentral:rRNA from 1 species
AUGGACGGCCUCAUCCAUUGGGAUUUCUCCCCCGGCCUCAAGGUCGAGGGCCAGGUGCGUGCUCGCUUUGGAUCUAUGGUUCACUUCGUCCCCAACCCCAACUCCAAGGAGUUCUUCCUUUAAGUUUCUUUCUCCUCGGCCUCUUUUCCUCUCUCGGUGGAAUCUAUGGGAUUGGCUCUUCAGUCUUGCAUUGGU